rnacentral:rRNA from 1 species
AUUGAACGCUGGCGGCAUGCUUUACACAUGCAAGUCGAACGGCAGCGCGGGCUUCGGCCUGGCGGCGAGUGGCGAACGGGUGAGUAAUACAUCGGAACGUGCCCAGUAGUGGGGGAUAGCUCGGCGAAAGCCGGAUUAAUACCGCAUACGACCUGAGGGUGAAAGCGGGGGAUCUUCGGACCUCGCGCUAUUGGAGCGGCCGAUGGCAGAUUAGCUAGUUGGUGGGGUAAAGGCCUACCAAGGCGAGGAUCUGUAGCUGGUCUGAGAGGACGACCAGCCACACUGGGACUGAGACACGGCCCAGACUCCUACGGGAGGCAGCAGUGGGGAAUUUUGGACAAUGGGCGAAAGCCUGAUCCAGCAAUGCCGCGUGUGUGAUGAAGGCCUUCGGGUUGUAAAGCACUUUUGGCGGGAACGAAAAGGACUGUGCCAAUACCACGGUUCGAUGACGGUACCCGCAGAAUAAGCACCGGCUAACUACGUG